ensembl:lincRNA
AUGACUGUAAAGCUAAGAAACAGCCAUGGCUCAAUGAUUCCCCUUAACAGCAGCUUACCAGCAAACAGAAAACACACGCCUUAUGUGUUGGAAGUGGUGAAGAUUUUUCAGCAUGUUGUUCCAAAGCCACGUACAGUUGCCAUGACUGUAAUCAAUAAGAGUGUGAAGACAAGACUGCAGGGCAUCAUAAGAAGGAUGGAAAGGCUGGAAGAGCUUGUUCCAGAGAUGAAGCUAAGAUACCACAGAAGGCUGAAUCAGGAAAUGGAGUUCCUGAGUGACAAACUGGUCUUCUUGAAUAAAAGAAUGCAGAUGGCUGACUCUCAGUGUUGGAGAGGAAUGUUUAAACGGACACCACUGUGGUAGCAGCCAGCUCUGACAUUCAGCUUGGAAACGUUCUUAAAGUUACAUUCAUAGCGCCUCAUUCACAGCAGGCGUGACUGUGUCUGAGCCAAGGAGAAUGACUCACAAAAAAAGGCAUCAGAUGACCUGAAAAUUUAAAUGUGCAUUUGCAACUGGUAAAUAUGUGAAAUCCACUCAAAUAAUAUGUUAAGACAGUACCAUGAGAGUAAUAAUAUUAGCAUGAUAUUUGUCAAAGCUUUGCAACAAUAAGGCUCACCAUACUUUAUGUGACUGUAAUCUGUCAUGCAGCAAGUGUGGUGUAUCUCUUCAUGGAACAAGUCCUCCCUUUAACACCUUCAUUGUAAGGUAUAGGUACUGUAUCAAAGAGACAAGGAAGAUGAAAUUGGACCAGUGCCAGGGGAAAAUUUGGGGUAGGGCAAACCCUGUUCCGCUUGUCACAGGAGAAAACCAGAAGCCGUAAACAAUUCUGUGUGCCAAAUCUUUCAUUGUCAGCCAGCUUCAAAAUGUGAAAAUUUGCCAGAUCCUGGCAUUUACACAUAUACUGUACAGCAGCACCCAGGUCUGGAAUAGAACCCAGGGCCCCAGAACUGCAAGGCUCCACUGUGCUGCCCUAUUAUAGACUAUCUUACUAUAUAUGAUCAUUUUCCAAAAAGAUAAGAUAAGAUAACUUUAUUGGCCAUAUACAGUUACUUUUAUUAGGAAUGCAUUUUUUUGCAUACCCCAGCUUUCUCUCCAUGAGACACACAGACAGGGAGAGAAGCUGGGGGUCAGAGCGCAGGGUCAGCCAUUUAUACAGCACCCCUGGAGCAGCUGGGGUUAAGGGCCUUGCUCAGGGGCCCAAGGGAGUAGGAUUCCUCUGCCAGCCACAGGAUACGAACCGGCAACCUUCCAGCCACAGGCGCAGAUCCUGAGCCACAGAGCCACCACUUCGCCACUCCAUUGCUGUGAUCAUAUGUUUAUCACCGACCCUGCUGAAAUUAUAUCCCCCAAGAUAAAAUGUGCCUUAUCUGCAGGUGCAAUUUCUGUUAAGGCACUGCAACUGUAAUUGUAAGAACUUGGCUAUCCUGGUCUUUUUUAACUCAGUUUAACUCAGUCUUGAAAUGAAGCUUGUUUUGCUGUACUAAGGAUACACUAAUGAGUUGUGUUGUGCUGUAUGUGUUAAUAAGGGGUAAUUCACCUUUGGGGAUAGCAGCUGAUAAUUAUUAGACACAUCUUACCUGUGUAGAAUAAUUCUACUGGAUUGUGUUUACAUGUGUCUUAAGUCAGACUCUCGUGAACAAGGCCCAUUGAAUAAAUGCUGUGGUUAUGAAUAGGCUGGUGAUAUUUACAUAAUAGUGCAGCACAACUGUAGAUAACAGAUGUUUAAAAUUAAAAUACCAAAACAUUCAUUAUGGUAAACAUUUAGAAUAUUCGUUAAACAUUUUACAUUGUUAAGGAGCUCGGUUUCAAUGCUGUCCACUACACUCAUAAUGCGCUUUAAAUUAGAAGUUUUCAGUAUUGCUGUUGCCACAUCUGUUUUUGAAGCUGAAUUUGAAGUACAGUACUUUGAAUGUGAAACUGAAGAUAAAUCUUUCAAAAAUGGCUUUUAGUUAAAAUUGGACUUCAUAUUUUUUAAUGUUUUAAUGUUUCUUGAUGUCUUCAGUGAUUUUACAUUGACAGUUUGGCAGUGAUUAAAAUGAUGUUUUUCCGUUAAGCAGUGUUUCAGCAAAUAAAUUACAAGGGUGAAUACAUUAACUGUCUGCAGUCCAGCACUACCUAGAAUCAUUGUAUUUAUGCGUGUUUAAAAUCACAUGCAGGUCAUCUCACAAAGUAGUCACCAGCCAUGUCACCCUGGAGCUCACAACUGCUAACCUACUGAAGCUCAGCAGAUGUGAGCCUGGUCAGUACCUGGAUGGGAGACUCCUGGGAAAAACUAAGGUUGCUGCUGGAAGAGGUAUUCGAUGCAGGAUCGUUGAUCUAGGAUCCAUUAUGGGGGCUAGGAUACUUGGCUAACUGUCAGUUGAGAAUGUGUGUUAGGGGUUGACAAUGUAUCAGAUAGGCUAUCAGUAGAAAGAGAAAGAUAUACAGUAGACAGAAAACAGUACACUCCCACUGAGUACUCAAAUGAAUGACCAAUGUAAGGUUUUACAUUUCUUCUUUAUUUUGAAUACUGUAUUUUUAAUUCCAAGAAUCUUUCUUUUUGCCUCCGUCUAUGCCUGUGGAUUUGAUAUGAGGACUUCACUGAUACACACCUUCCACAGAUUCUUACCUCAGUCACUUACUGUACUUCUAAAUAAAUGGAAAAUGUAUUCUGUGGACUCUGUCAUGCAUACACACGCGGGACAGCGCACCUCCUGUAUAGCGCCUGGCGCUAUCAGAACACGCUCGGGUAGACUUUCCCAGCGGGCUCAUUCAUCAACUUAUUAAUGAUUAGUUUCAAUUUUCUUUAAAUACUUCCCUUGCCCUUCACCGAGGGCUCUGUUAUUAGCUGAGUUACUGCAUACUGUAGCUCCCUUACACCAGUUUUCUUUUUCCGCUCUACGGCUUUGAGCUUAAAUAUAUACAGUAUUUAGAGCUUUCUUUGUUUUUUGCACCCACAGUACAUCUCUGCAGCCCUGAGUGUUGGGUUACUUUUGUGUCUUUCUUUUUCUUUUUGACUUACUUUUUUUUUGUUUGCGGUGUUCCUCACCUCGCUGCUGCCUGAGAUCUGCUUGUGAGCACGCUUGUCAGACCGCCUCGCUUCAUUACAAAUACACAAUACAUUUAACACAACACGGACCCCUUUACAAAUAAACAACAUACAUGCAUAAGACAAAAAACAAGAUAACAGCUUUCAGGAAUCCUCACCGUUUAGAAAGACAAAGUAGAGUCAAUCAGUGUGCGAGAUAGAUACAUUACAUGAUACAAAAAAUAAAUAAGGACAUAAACAAAGUAAAAUACAGUAUAGCUUAGAAGCUAAAGGAGCUUCUAAGAAAUACUUGAGAACAGUUCUUUUUGUUUUUGUGUUCACUCAUGUUUGAAUUUUGUGAGUAACCAUUAAUUAAUUAAGAUAACUUUAUUGGCCAUACUGUAUACAAUUUCUUGUAUUCGAAAUUUGUCUUCUCGCAUUCCCCAGCUUGCUCUCCAUGAGACACACAGACAGGAAGAGAAGCUUGGGGUCGGCGCACAGGGUCAGCCAUUUAUACGGUGCCCCUGGAGCAGUUGGGAUGAAGGGCCUGCUAAGGGGCCCAAUGGAGUAGGAUUUCUCUGCCGGCCGCAGGAUAUGAACU